GAGGAAUAUUGGUCAAUGGGAGCAAUCCUGAACCAGCGACGCCGCGUGUGGGAUGACGGGGCUAUGCCCUGUAAACCACUGUCGGAUGGGACGAAAAGCGGGCUUCGCCCGCUGGGACGGUACCAUCAAAGGAAGGAUCGGCUAACUACGUGCCAGCAGCCGCGGUAAUACGUAGGAUCCAAGCGUUGUCCGGAUUUACUGGGUGUAAAGGGUGCGUAGGCGGACAGGUGCGUCAGAGGUGAAAUCUCCCGGCUUAACUGGGAGGGUGCCUUUGAUACGGCUUGUCUUGAGUGCGAGAGAGGAUGAUGGAAUUCCUGGUGUAGCGGUGAAAUGCGUAGAUAUCAGGAGGAACACCAGUGGCGAAGGCGGUCAUCUGGCUCGUAACUGACGCUGAGGCACGAAAGCGUGGGGAGCAAAC
rnacentral:rRNA from 1 species